ACCUCGGUAGCCAUGCUCACCGACAAAGUGCGCUGCGUGAUGAACACCCGCGCCGAGGUCUGCUCGGCGGUCGACAAUUCGUGCCUG
rnacentral:misc_RNA from 1 species